rnacentral:rRNA from 1 species
CGGAGGGGCUAGCGUUGUUCGGAAUUACUGGGCGUAAAGCGCACGUAGGCGGCGAUUUAAGUCAGAGGUGAAAGCCCGGGGCUCAACCCCGGAACUGCCUUUGAGACUGGAUUGCUUGAAUCCGGGAGAGGUGAGUGGAAUUCCGAGUGUAGAGGUGAAAUUCGUAGAUAUUCGGAAGAACACCAGUGGCGAAGGCGGCUCACUGGACCGGCAUUGACGCUGAGGUGCGAAAGCGUGGGGAGCAAACAGGAUU